CAAGCUUGCCACCAGAUAUUCAGUGCCAAAGGCAGGAAAGACAAGCAGCUUCUUCACAUUCUUCCUACCCCGGCAGCCCACGAAGUGGUAGGUCCUCAACAGGACAACUAGCAGCUGAACGAGCCAGCGUGCAUGAAGUCAUGCCACAGUCAGAUUUCCAGAAACAAGUUUGGCGGAUCCUUCACAUCAUGCGACUUGCACAGCAGGAGCAAGGCGAUCUCCUUCAUGAAGUGUCUAGGCAACUUGUGCAUUCAGACCUCAUUGUUGCUGAAGCCCCUCUAGUAUCUACUCCAUUUGCAUCCUGUGAAGCUCUGGAGGACUUCAACGACUCACUUAAU